UCUGAGUUGUGUUGCACAUGACUAAUUGAUCUUUGCCUUUUGGCUCUGAAAUUUUGCAUGAUUUGUUUUGCUUAUUGAUUUCUUAUGGAUAUUGAUCCUUGUCUCCUGUUUUUCAUUUAUUUCACCUUAAGAUUCUGAUUAGUUUUGGACCUUGCUUGUACUCCAUAGUUGUUUUUCAUUUCAUAAGUAACUCAUCUUCAGUAUUUGCAUGUAUUGGGCUAAUAUAUUUUUGUUGAACCUUUAAUUGUUGAUAUCAGCCUUUAGAUUCCUGAUUUUAAUCGUAAACUGAGUUUUCAAUUCCUGUUAUUUAUUUCUCUAUCUCAAGUUUUACUGUAUACCUUAAUUGGGUUAUCUCUGCAAGUUAAGCAUCAAUGGAUGGUUUUCCUUUUCUGGUCCCUUCAAUCCAUUGGUUUUGAACUAUUUUUGUUGCUGAAAAAUCCACAUUAGGAUACUUAUUCAAAAAUUGAAUGGUAUUGGCUAAUUAAUUAAACCUUUCAAUAAGCUUGUUAGUCCUGACCAAAUUUUGCCCAACACUUAAACACAAUUGACCUGGGUCAGUUUUGACCAAACCAAAUGACAGAACAAGGUUAAAACUGCAGGUUAGUUAAUUAGGAAAAGAAAUAGGGGUAUAAGGGGUAUUUGAGCCUUAAAAGAAUCUGAUAACAACCCCUAGAACAUUCUAGUGAGGGACUUAGGCAUAAUUUCAGCCUCAAACUUGGGGGACAAGUCAGGAAACUAAGGACCAUUUAGGAAAAAACUGAAAUCUAAAUCAAUGACUAAAAGGAAAAACAAGGAAAAAGUGAUAAAAAGGGCAAUCUGAGUAUUUUUGGGGGAUCCUUUUUAACAAUGGGAGAUUUUUCUGAAAGAUUGGGAAUAUAUUUCGAACAGAUCUUUCUUUGAAGUUAGAGUGAUUUGAGAUAUAUAAGUACAUAUUAAUUUCCUCUAUAUUUUGAAAAGUCCUUAGUGCUGCUCUCAUCACUGUGGAAUUUUGGUCUCUUCAAAGCCUUUCCUAAAAUCUGGGUGUUUACUGUUCGAUUGGCUGCUGCUUGUUUGCUGACUAACUUCAUUUACUCAUAGGUUUUGUUUCCUUGCUGAAUUCCAGGUAUAUUCUGAUGUCCAUUGAUGUAUGGAACUUGGUUUGAAUAUAUUUCCAAUUUCGAAGAUCUGUAUUUAUCAUUUCCUUUUGAACCCUCGCCCUUUUUCCUUCUCUUUUAGCUUUAGUAUACUCCAUGAUAGAGAUAAUUAUCCUGUAAUAAUCAGAUAUUUGGACUAAUUCGUCUUGUAAUAACUGAACAUUCGGACUGAUUUAUCUUGUAAUAAGUGGACAUUUGGAUUGAUACUUUUUAUAUGCAC
rnacentral:lncRNA from 1 species